UUCCGUAGGUGAACCUGCGGAAGGAUCAUUAUCAAGAGAAAUCUUUCCCAACCGAAAGAUCUUUUCCUUUGUGCUGGCUUUGACUGUAUGUAAUUUUGGGACUUCAAAAUGGUUUCGUCGUAAAACAACGAGCCGGUCCCAAAAAACAAUAUAUCAUCCUUAUGAAAUUUUUCUGAACUUAUAAACAAGUGAUUUUAAUAAUCUGUUUAAAACAACUUUCAACAACGGAUCUCUUGGUUCUCGCAUCGAUGAAGAACGCAGCGAAAUGCGAUACGUAAUGUGAAUUGCAGAAUUCAGUGAAUCAUCGAAUCUUUGAACGCACAUUGCACUCCUUGGUAUUCCGAGGAGUAUGCCUGUUUCAGUAUCAUGAGCACUCUCACACCUAACCUUUGGGUUUUGGCGUGGAAUUGGAAUGCGCCAACUCUUCACAGGUUGGCCCUUCUAAAAUGUAGUUCUUGGCUGUCACCUAACACAGCAGUUUGGCCUAAUAGUUUUGGCAUUCAUUGUCAAAUCUUUGGCUAACAUUUGCUCCAGGAGUCAGUCUCGAUAAUACAGAAAACUCAUUCAAA
rnacentral:sRNA from 1 species